UACGUAGGGUGCAAGCGUUGUCCGGAAUUAUUGGGCGUAAAGAGCUCGUAGGCGGUCUGUCGCGUCUGCUGUGAAAACUCAGGGCUUAACCCUGAGCUUGCAGUGGGUACGGGCAGACUAGAGUGCGGUAGGGGAGACUGGAAUUCCCGGUGUAGCGGUGAAAUGUGUAGAGAUCGGGAGGAACACCGGUGGCGAAGGCGGGUCUCUGGGCAAUUCCUGACGCUGAGGCGCGAAAGCGUGGGGAGCAAACGGG
rnacentral:rRNA from 1 species